UCUGGCUCAGGAUGAACGCUAGCUACAGGCUUAACACAUGCAAGUCGAGGGGCAGCAUGAUCAAAGCUUGCUUGAUUGAUGGCGACCGGCGCACGGGUGCGUAACGCGUAUCCAACCUGCCGUGUACUCCGGGAUAGCCCUCUGAAAGGAGGAUUAAUACCGGAUGUGGUCGGGUGAAGACAUCUUUACUCGAUUAAAGAUUUAUCGGUACACCGAUGGGGAUGCGUACGAUUAGGUAGUCGGCGGGGUAACGGCCCACCGAGCCAACGAUCGUUAGGGGUUCUGAGAGGAAGGUCCCCCACAUAGGAACUGAGACACGGUCCUAACUCCUACGGGAGGCAGCAGUGAGGAAUAUUGGUCAAUGGGCGAGAGCCUGAACCAGCCAAGUAGCGUGAAGGAAUGACUGCCCUAUGGGUUGUAAACUUCUUUUAUAGGGGAAUAAAGUGCGUCACGUGUGGCGUUUUGUAUGUACCCUAUGAAUAAGCAUCGGCUAAUUCCGUGCCAGCAGCAGC
rnacentral:rRNA from 1 species